UAACGACUCUCGGCAACGGAUAUCUCGGCUCUUGCAUCGAUGAAGAACGUAGCGAAAUGCGAUACUUGGUGUGAAUUGCAGAAUCCCGUGAACCAUCGAGUCUUUGAACGCAAGUUGCGCCCGAAGCCACUAGGCUGAGGGCACGUCUGCCUGGGCGUCUCACA
rnacentral:rRNA from 1 species